AGUGAACGCUGGCGGUAGGCCUAACACAUGCAAGUCGAACGGCAGCACAGUAAGAGCUUGCUCUUACGGGUGGCGAGUGGCGGACGGGUGAGGAAUACAUCGGAAUCUACUUUUUCGUGGGGGAUAACGUAGGGAAACUUACGCUAAUACCGCAUACGACCUACGGGUGAAAGCAGGGGAUCUUCGGACCUUGCGCGAUUGAAUGAGCCGAUGUCGGAUUAGCCAGUUGGCGGGGUAAAGGCCCACCAAGGCGACGAUCCGUAGCUGGUCUGAGAGGAUGAUCAGCCACACUGGAACUGAGACACGGUCCAGACUCCUACGGGAGGCAGCAGUGGGGAAUAUUGGACAAUGGGCGCAAGCCUGAUCCAGCCAUACCGCGUGGGUGAAGAAGGCCUUCGGGUUGUAAAGCCCUUUUGUUGGGAAAGAAAAGCAGUAGGUUAAUACCCCGCUGUUCUGACGGUACCCAAAGAAUAAGCACCGGCUAACUUCGUG
rnacentral:rRNA from 1 species